UGCCUUAAGGCUUAGGAACAGGACUCUUUGGAUGAAUUAUUAGGGGUAGGAAACACACACACAUAUGCAUGAGGUGCCUUCACUUACCUGAAUCAUCGGAGAGAACUGCUGAGCUCCAUGUUUUCAUUGACAGGGGUCUCCCUUCUCUCUGAAUUUGUGCUCUGCUGACCCUCCCUCCACCUGCAGUGUCCUUAUCCAUGCAUUUUCCUCUGUCUAGAUGCAGACUUCUUUUCUCCAUGUGAUCACACAAUAGUAUAUUUGUCAUCUUCUUUUCAAAUCCUGCUCUAGGAAGCACCAGGACCAUAGAAGCCUGGAGGCAAAAGUCUUUAAAAAUUUUUUAAAGAAAUUGUCAAAUGGAGCUUAAGUGGAUGAGAAGAAAAAUCGGUGCAGUUCUAAGCCCCACAGAGCCAUCAGCAAAUAAAAUGGCCAGAAUCUCUGCUUUUAUCAAGCUUACACUGAGUGAGGAAAGUGUUGGGAAGAUCUGACAAGAGAAUAAUAGGAAGAAGGCUGUUCCUGCAGAGACGUCUCUUGUAGAUAUGUCUUUGAGAACAUUAUCAUCUUCUUGAAAAUUGUGAUCUUAUCUGCCUAGCAUCUCAUAUCAUAUCUGUUUGCAAAUCCCAUCUAUUCCUGAGGAGAACUCAUUCCAUAUGAUUUGAGCAUGGAUGACUCCAUCUUCCAGAUGCAGAAGAGGACACAUGCCCCAGGCUUGACUAAUUAAAGCACCGGAGUCCCCUGGCCACGGUGCUUAGUUCAGGAGGAGUUGCCCCUGGUAAUUGUCUGCUGGAACUGCUGGGAAAGUUGCCUCCUUUCUAUGGGGGUUGCUAAGAGAGACUGAUGUGAUCUUGCAGGCUGCAGCUAUUCAUUGUACCUAGAAGGCCUGUCCAAGAUAGGAAGAGUGAGAGCCGCAUAUGAACACCUGGAUCCCACUAUGCUUAAAGCUAGAAACCUAUGAACUUUUCAUUUAUGUAAGCUAAUGCAAUCUCUGUUUUGUUUAACUUAAUGUGAGAUGGGCCUUUAUCACUAGCAAUUAAAAGAGUCUUAACUAAUAGAAUGACUUGACUAUAAAAUAC
rnacentral:lncRNA from 1 species